CAGCUAUUAUCAUCUGUCUUUCCGGUGCAUGACUUCGAACUUUUUUCUUCAUUGGCCGGUGUUUGGGAUCAACAGCCAGACGGUGUUCCAUAACCUCGGCAUCGAUCUCUGGCAUGUCCGUCGGAACCCAAGCAAAAACAUCUGCACUCUUUUGUAGGAAAUCAAUAAGUUGUGUCCGCACCUCUUUUCCCAAGCUAGAGCCGAUCUUCACCAUGUGCUCUUCAUUCCCAUCAUUCAAAGGAAUUGAGACAAGAUCUUCCAUUGGCCCACCCCGUUCUUCAGUCAGGUCGUCACGGGUGUCCAAUCCAUCAAGCGGACAGGGGUCAGGCUGACCACUUCUUUGCAGGGCUAUAUUAUAGCAAUGCCUUGCCAGGGCUUGAUCUC
rnacentral:lncRNA from 1 species